GACGAACGCUGGCGGCGUGCCUAAUACAUGCAAGUAGAACGCUGAAGGAGGAGCUUGCUUCUCUGGAUGAGUUGCGAACGGGUGAGUAACGCGUAGGUAACCUGCCUGGUAGCGGGGGAUAACUAUUGGAAACGAUAGCUAAUACCGCAUAAUAUUGACUAUUGCAUGAUAGUCAGUUGAAAGGUGCAACUGCACCACUACCAGAUGGACCUGCGUUGUAUUAGCUAGUUGGUGGGGUAACGGCUCACCAAGGCGACGAUACAUAGCCGACCUGAGAGGGGGAUCGGCCACACUGGGACUGAGACACGGCCCAGACUCCUUCGGGAGGCAGCAGUAGGGAAUCUUCGGCAAUGGACGGAAGUCUGACCGAGCAACGCCGCGUGAGUGAAGAAGGUUUUCGGAUCGUAAAGCUCUGUUGUAAGAGAAGAACGAGUGUGAGAGUGGAAAGCUCACACUGUGACGGUAUCUUACCAGAAAGGGACGGCUAACUACGUG
rnacentral:rRNA from 1 species